UAGGGAAUCUUCGGCAAUGGACGGAAGUCUGACCGAGCAACGCCGCGUGAGUGAAGAAGGUUUUCGGAUCGUAAAGCUCUGUUGUAAGAGAAGAACGAGUGUGAGAGUGGAAAGUUCACACUGUGACGGUAUCUUACCAGAAAGGGACGGCUAACUACGUGCCAGCAGCCGCGGUAAUACGUAGGUCCCGAGCGUUGUCCGGAUUUAUUGGGCGUAAAGCGAGCGCAGGCGGUUAGAUAAGUCUGAAGUUAAAGGCUGUGGCUUAACCAUAGUAGGCUUUGGAAACUGUUUAACUUGAGUGCAAGAGGGGAGAGUGGAAUUCCAUGUGUAGCGGUGAAAUGCGUAGAUAUAUGGAGGAACACCGGUGGCGAAAGCGGCUCUCUGGCUUGUAACUGACGCUGAGGCUCGAAAGCGUGGGGAGCAAACAGGAUUAGAUACCCUGGUAGUCCACGCUGUAAACGAUGAGUGCUAGUGUUAGACCCUUUCCCGGGGUUUAGUGCCGUAGCUAACGCAUUAAGCACUCCGCCUGGGGAGUACGACCGCAAU
rnacentral:rRNA from 1 species